CCUACGGGUGGCUGCAGUGUGGAAUAUUCGUCAAUGGGCGCGAGCCUGAACCAGCCAAGUAGCGUGAAGGAUGACUGCCCUACGGGUGUUAAACUUCGUUUAUAAAGGAGUAAAGUGAGGCACGUGUGCCUUUUUGUAUGUACUUUAUGAAUAAGGAUCGGCUAACUCCGUUCCAGCAGCCGCGGUGAUACGGUGGAUCCGAGCGUUAUGCGGAUUUAUUGGGUUUAAAGGGAGCGUAGAUGGGUUGUUAAGUCAGUUGUGAAAGUUUGCGGCUCAACCGUAAAAUUGCAAUUGAUACUGGCAGUCUUGAGUACAGUUGAGGUAGGUGGAAUUCGUGGUGUAGCGGUGAAAUGCUUAGAUAUCACGAAGAACUCCGAUUGCGAAGGCAGCUUACUAAACUGUCACUGACAUUGAUGCUCGAAAGUGUGGGUAUCAAACAGGAUUAGAUACCCUUGUAGUC
rnacentral:rRNA from 1 species